rnacentral:snoRNA from 1 species
UCAUGACCAUGAGAUCAGGAAUCACAUGCUCUACCAACUGA